UCAUUCAAGUUCGUCAACCCAACAACAAACAAGAGAAAACUGUCAAUCCAUGGUGAUCGCUUAUUUAUCGUGAAAGAUCUGGCAACCCCGCACCAGCGAUGCUGCUGACAGAGAUAUAUCUCUGAUGCUGAGCAGCAGCACUGUCACCUGUACUUCCUUCACGAGAGACCGCAUCCACUAACUGCCUGGACAGUCUAAUUUGGACAAUAAGUGAGUGACAUUAAGAUGAAGAGAAGAAACGAUAUUGAGAGCUUCUUUAUCAAGAAAAAAAAGAGUCAGUCAGCUACAGCCAGUACCAGCACCAGUGCAGAUGCCCACACAAGCCAGCAGCCUAGGGAUAGUGUUGAUGAGCAGUCCACUACCCCAAUACAAGAUGUUGACCAGCCACAUUUGGAGGAGGAGGAGACGGACUGUGAAUCUGUGUUGUCUGGAUCUCCACCUACUGAGCAUGGUAUGUCAGGUUCAGAUGUCAUUCAUGAAGUUGGUGUCUACUCUCUCAUACUUCAGUUAUUUAAAAAUGGCCAAUUAUGCAUAUGUAUAUGUGAAUGCAUAGCAUUUAACCAGAUUACACUGCACUUUCAAUUAAAAGCCUGGCACAUUAAAAUAACUUAAUGAGGAUAUGUGUGUGCAUUUAUCUUUAAUUUCUGUGAAUACGUACAUAGAAAA